AUCCACUCGUUAUAGGAAAAGAGUUACUCUGUGUUAACCAAUGGCAUGUAAAUACCGGCGCUGAUUAUGAAGGAAAGACUCUCGGCGUUUUACUACUGCGGAGAGUGCGCAAACCGGCGCGGACAUCGGAGAGAAGCGCUGGAAGCCAGCAGAGAUGAAUUACCCAGCCGCAUCCACCAGCUGCACCCAGACACUCAACACGGGUGACUUAAGGACAGAAGACUCAAAGUGUGCCUUCCUUACACUAAGUGUCUGGGCGUCUCAGCAUUUUCAUUAGUGUUCCAUUAUCUACCCACUAGAAUCGAACAAUAAAAACUAAGUUCUUGUAUGUUCUGUUUUAAUACUUGGAUUGUAAGGCUGACAUUUGGACCACAUAUCUUCAACUUCAUAGAGGGCCUGAAAAAUAUUGCAUGCAGGGUAGAGUUUAUGGAAGCACGGGGCACGUUUUCGGUUGGGGACCUGUUUGUGCGCGGCGAAAGAUAGUCUUACCGCACAACCCAGUCGUUGGUAUCACACGACCCAGUUUGAGGUCCAGGCAACAGUGUCACGGGAGAGCUCCAACCUCGCCAGACCAGGGUUAUUUUAAGAAGAUGGGGGGGGGGGGGCUUCUUGCAAUUCUGUGUAUCACGAGUUUGCAUUCUAAUUUACCAUUAUCGCCUUCUUCACUCGAGGACACCACAUUUUUACAUACCCUAAGCAUGGUUUUGCUACAAACAGAGUCAACAAAGUCACAUAGUUCAAACGUAAAAUAAUUUAUGGAUUCAUCCACCGAUGUCUUUUAUAUUGUCUCACAAGUUGAUGCAAUAUUACAAUAUCUUAACACUUCAUUGAAAUCUAAAUUUCCGUCAUGUGUCUGUCGCACGGUUUCACUCAUGUUGUCAUACUGGGGGUGCAGUAACUUCAGCGGACCGCGGGUGUCAUCUUAAGAACACACAUGCUAAAAUCACAACCCAAUGACGCAAUGUUUGAGUGCCAUGUUAAACAAUGCAGCCGGAUUCAGUUCAUUUUCUGUUUUAUUAAUGGCUACAUUAGACCACAAAGUAGCCUACUGCAUUUUUUGUGUCGCAUUUACCUGUAACCCGACUGUUUUCAUCAAUCCUUCUGACUUUUUACGUGCUUAAACUGAGAACGUCACCCAGAUCGCACUACGUCAUUGUUUCAGCGUUGAAUUAUAGUUAAAUGCGUUGCAUUAUGGUCAGUGUUAAAUUAUCUACGUUGAAACUGAAUUGAUUUUUGGUCAGAUUUUCAAUAUUGGAAAAUUGAUGACGGCAAAACCUUGAUUCAAUGUUGAUAUAUAAUGUGAAACAUUGAAGAUGAACGUUGUUUCAACCUUUUUGUCUGAUAUGGAAUCGAUGUCAUUUCAACAUAUGUGUGAUAUCUAGGGAGAGGGGCCGUGUUUUGUAAAGGGAUUGUAUGACUCCAUGCUACCCAGAACAUAAAAUGUGCUUGAUUAGGUCUACAGGUCUGCAGUGGUAAGCAGUAUUAAAAACAGAGUCUUGAAAUGUUA